GAUGAACGCUGGCGGCGUGCUUAACACAUGCAAGUCGAACGGUGAAGGCGGAGCUUGCUCUGCUGGAUCAGUGGCGAACGGGUGAGUAACACGUGAGCAAUCUGCCCCUGACUCUGGGAUAAGCGCUGGAAACGGCGUCUAAUACUGGAUACGAGCUGCGAAGGCAUCUUCAGCAGCUGGAAAGAACUUCGGUCAGGGAUGAGCUCGCGGCCUAUCAGCUUGUUGGUGAGGUAACGGCUCACCAAGGCGUCGACGGGUAGCCGGCCUGAGAGGGUGACCGGCCACACUGGGACUGAGACACGGCCCAGACUCCUACGGGAGGCAGAGGUGGGGAAUAUUGCACAAUGGGCGAAAGCCUGAUGCAGCAACGCCGCGUGAGGGACGACGGCCUUCGGGUUGUAAACCUCUUUUAGCAGGGAAGAAGCGAAAGUGACGGUACCUGCAGAAAAAGCGCCGGCUAACUACGUG
rnacentral:rRNA from 1 species